rnacentral:rRNA from 1 species
UACGGGGGGGGCAAGCGUUGUUCGGAAUUACUGGGCGUAAAGGGCUCGUAGGCGGCCAACUAAGUCAGACGUGAAAUCCCUCAGCUUAACUGGGGAACUGCGUCUGAUACUGGAUGGCUUGAGUUUGGGAGAGGGACGCGGAAUUCCAGGUGUAGCGGUGAAAUGCGUAGAGAUCGGCAGGAACACCCAGGGGGAAACCAGUCGACUGGGCAUCUACUGACGCUGAGGUGCGAGAGCGUGGGGAGCGAACCGG